rnacentral:other from 10 species
CCCCCAUUCGCGUCUAAUAAGGAGCCUGCACCCCAGAGAGUCCCGGGAGCGCCGCCGGUCGGUGCCCGGCGCCCCGGGCCAUGCAGCAACGGCCGCGGCGGAGCUCCGAGCGGCGGUAGCACCCCCCUGUAAAGCGGUUCACGAUGCCGGGGCCACUGUGAACCCUGCCGCCUGCCGGAAUACGCUCCGCUCCGGACCAGCUCAGCCUGUGAUACGCUGGACUCCGCGCGCCCGCAGCAAGCAAGCACCGAGGAGUCAAGAGGGCCGCAAGCGCGGGGAAGGCCUCCCCGCACAGGUCGGGGAAACCGGCCGGUGCAGCGUGGGGACACUCACUCGGGCUGGCACUGGCUGCUAGGG